UUCUGGCAGAUUAAAACUGUGUGCCGGACGGAGACUCGAAUUAGUCCCGAGUUCGAGUCUCGGUCCGGCACACAGUUUUAAUCUGCCAGGAACUUUCAUAUCAGCUCACACUCCGUUGCAGAGUGAUAAUCUCAUUCUGAGGUGUAAUUCUAUUUUCUUUCUCGCAAUGGUUUUCAUAGAAU